rnacentral:rRNA from 1 species
UACAGGGGGGGCAAGCGUUGUUCGGAAUUACUGGGCGUAAAGGGCUCGUAGGCGGCCAACUAAGUCACACGUGAAAUCCCCAGGCUUAACCUGGGAACUGCGUGUGAUACUGGAUGGCUUGAAUUCGGGAGAGGGAUGCAGAAUUCCAGGUGUAGCGGUGAAAUGCGCAGAUAUCAGGAGGAACACCCGUAGCGAAGGCGGCACUCUGGGCCGAUACUGACACUGAGGAGCGAAAGCGUGGGGAGCGAACAGG